rnacentral:misc_RNA from 1 species
GAUGAAGAACGUAGCGAAAUGCGAUAAGUAGUGUGAAUUGCAGAAUUCAGUGAAUCAUCGAAUCUUUGAACGCACAUUGCGCCCGCUGGUACUCCGGCGGGCACGCCUGUCCGAGCGUCAUUUCAACCCUCAAGCCCUCCUUCGGGAUGGGCCUGGUGUUGGGGCUCGGCCGCCAUCUCCGGCGGCCGUCCCCUAAAUACAGUGGCGGUCACGUCGCGACUCCUUUGCGUAGUAGAAACACCUCGCUCCGGAUAGCAACGCGGUCCACGCCGUAAAAUCCCCAAUUUUCAAUGGUUGACCUCGGAUCAGGUGGGAAUACCCGCUGAACUUAAGCAUAUCAAUAAGCGGAGGA